ACUCAAAGGAAUUGACGGGGGCCCGCACAAGCAGCGGAGCGUGUGGUUUAAUUCGAUGCAACGCGAAGAACCUCACCUAGGCUUGACAUGGCUGAAGUAGAACCCUGAAAGGGGAACGACCCGUAAAGUCGGGAGCAGUCACAGGUGCUGCAUGGCUGUCGUCAGCUCGUGCCGUGAGGUGUUGGGUUAAGUCCCGCAACGAGCGCAACCCUCGGCGUUAGUUACCAUGUCUAACGCGACCGCCGGUUUCAAACCGGAGGAAGGUGGGGAUGACGUCAAGUCAGCACGGCCCUUACGCCUAGGGCUACACACACGCUACAAUGGCCGGUACAACGGGACGCCAAAGGGUGACCUGGAGCAAAUCCCAUCAAAACCGGUCUCAGUUGGGAUUGGAGGCUGCAACUCGCCUCCAUGAACGCGGAGUUGCUAGUAACCGCAGGUCAGCACACUGCGGUGAAUACGUUCCCGGGCCUUGUACACACCGCCCGU
rnacentral:rRNA from 1 species